rnacentral:rRNA from 1 species
UACGGAGGGUGCAAACGUUGCUCGGAAUCAUUGGGCGUAAAGCGCACGUAGGCGGAUUGUUAAGUCGGAUGUGAAAUCCCUCAGCUUAACUGAGGAAGUGCACUCGAAACUGGCAGUCUUGAAUAUGGAAGAGGGUCGCGGAAUUCCCGGUGUAGAGGUGAAAUUCGUAGAUAUCGGGAGGAACACCAGUGGCGAAGGCGGCGACCUGGGCCAAUAUUGACGCUGAGGUGCGAAAGCGUGGGGAGCAAACAGG